GCGUCACGUGACCGCACUCAAACAACAACACGCUAAAAUAAUCGGCCACCUGUAUGACACGCGCUGUUAGUACAGUGAGCCUGCUGUCCAUCAGUCCCACCUUCCUGUAGGAGCAGAGCAGAAGCUGGAGGAGGUGGGGAAGAAAAAAAAAAAAAAUCACGCGCUCCGGUUACGCGAGAGAUGCGCGCGCCACCCUGCACGCUCCCACUCGUUACGCUCUUUUGCACAGAAUUAAUUUCGCCAGGAAAACGCGCGCGCUGAUUCUGGCUGGGGGGCUGAGGGUCGUCUCGGUAGAGUGCAGGACGUAGUUUGGAAACAUGAAGGACCGCACGCACGAGCUGAGGCAUGGUAAGGAGAAUGAAGAGGAGGAAGAGGUGGCAGUGGGCAUGGAGAAAGGCUUCAUGGACGAGUUCUUUGAACAGGUGGAAGAGAUACGUGGCUACAUCGACUCACUGGCUGAGAAGGUAGAGGAGGUAAAGCGGAAACACAGUGCCAUCCUUGCCGCGCCAAAUCCAGACGAAAAAACGAAAGCAGAACUGGAGGAGCUGAUGACGGACAUCAAGAAGCUGGCUAACAAAGUGCGCUCCAAGUUAAAGAGUAUCCAGCAGACCAUCGAGCAGGAGGAAGGACAGAACAGGUCUUCAGCUGAUUUGAGGAUACGGAAGACACAACACUCCACUCUGUCACGUAAAUUCGUGGAGGUGAUGUCAGAGUACAAUGCGACGCAAUCGAGUUACAGGGAGCGCUGCAAGGGCCGGAUCCAGAGACAGUUAGAGAUCACUGGAAGGAACACGACAAACGAGGAGCUAGAAAGCAUGCUGGAAAGUGACAACCCAGCUAUCUUCACUUCGGGGAUCAUCAUGGACUCCAACAUCACCCAGCAGGCCAUGAACGAGAUCGAAACCCGGCACAAUGAGAUCAUCAAGCUGGAGAACAGCAUCCGCGAGCUGCACGACAUGUUCAUGGACAUGGCCAUGCUGGUCGAGAGUCAGGGUGGGCUCAUGAACAACAUUGAAUCAAAUGUGCGUAAUGCCCAGGAAUAUGUGGAAAAAGCCAAAGAAGACACUAAAGCAGCUGUUAAAGUGCAAAAAACAAGCAAGGUGGUGAGUAACACCUUAAUCAGUCCACAGCUGCUGUCUAAAAUCACUCUCUCUUUCUCUCUUUCUCUUUUUCCUGUCCCUUUCUUCCUUCUUCCCCACUUCCUUCCCCUCUGUCCGGCUCGCUGCGCUGCGUGUGCACGGUCAGGGAGAGAUGAUCGACCGUAUAGAGUAUAACGUGGAACACGCAGUGGAUUACGUGGAAAGGGCCGUGUCAGACACCAAGAAGGCAGUAAAGUACCAGAGCAAAGCGCGGAGGAAGUUGAUCCUGUUAGGGGUGUGUGUGGCAUUUUGUCUGCUCAUCCUCAUCAUCUCACUCGCUGUUGGACUCAGCUAACAUGCAAAGAAGCCGCAGUGUACUGGAAAGUCAACUUUACAUUACUCAACCACACACUAGAAGAAGCCAGGAUGGGUUUCUGAGUCUGCUCUGAACCACAUGUUGCAGCGAGUUUGGAUAAUUAUUCUAUCCAUAGACUAGUUUCAUUGUAAUUAUUUAGUAUAUUUCUGUAUGGUUUGGGGUCAUGCUCUGAUAAUAUGCUAGCCUUUCAGUCUCACAGUAAUGUAGUCAUGAUAAUGUAUAUAUGUAUUUAAUAUACUGUGACAAAAAAACAUUUUUACUGAACCAAAAUGUAAAUGAUUUGUUUAUAGUGACUGACAGUGAGAUUAUUUAACAUGUUCACAUCGUCACAUUUUUCAAGUAAUAGAAUUUUUUGUCUGCAGAAAAAUGUCACUCUAUGAGCUCACGUGUAGAUUGUUCCACCUACCUCACUCCUUUCUCUCAUUCUUGUGUGUGUGUGUGUGUGUGUGUGUGUGCAUUAUGCCUGCUGUGUAUCUGCAUGCACUUCAAGAAUGUGUAAUGUUUGUGUCGGUCUAAUACCGUUUUUGACAUGGCCUCAUUGACUUCCCCUGAUGAUGUGCUUGUGCACUACAUGAAUAAAUGAAUGAAUAGACACUUGCACUACAAGGACAGGUAUCAUGGGAAAUGGUGUACAGUGUAUACAGUGUAGUCAGUUUCUAUUCAGCUACAUACAGAAUCACAUCAGCUGGCUAGAUUUCCAACUAGAUGGAUUGCUAACUAGUUAGCAGGGUAAGAAGUUGGCAAAAUAAAGUGAUCACAAAAUAAUCACAAAGCAAGGUGGUGAGUAACACCUUAAUCAGUGCUAUGCAUGUUUGUUAAGUUGCAUAAAUCAGUAGUUCUCAAAGUGAGAUCCUGGGACCUCAAGGGUCCGUGAUUUUUUCAUUUAGUUACAGUAGUAGGGUAGUGGUAGUAGUGGUAGUACAAUCCACCAUUAUCAAAGUAAUUAUAAUUAUUUUUGAAUAGUUAUUAGCCUGUUUGACUGGUUCCUUGGUUUUGAACAGUUUGACUGGUCCCUUGAAUUGAUUUGAAGUAGAUUCAAUCCAAACCUCAAAAGCUCAACAGUAAGCAGGCCUAUAAAUAAUCAACUUACACCUAAUGUGUUCUGUUGGUGGAAAGCUCAGGAACAGAAAGGAAUAGAAAUAUUUCUCGGUAUUAUUGGACACAUUUAAAUAAUGUUCAUGAAAUAAAUAUGUGUUGAAGAGGUCUGUGGAUGCUUGAUUGUUCUCGUUCACCAUUUCAAGUUUGAAAACUAACCAAAUUAUGAGAAGCCAGGAUCAGACAUGUUAGUUGACGAGACAAGUAAGUGCUACAACAAAAGAGAAAAUAUACAGUAUGUAAAUAUAUUGUACAAAUUUGUGAAAAAGUCCCACACCUAAAGAUUGCACAUCCCAAAACAGUCCCUUGCUUUAGUGCACAAUCUCACCUGGAUACUGUAGACCACAUGUAUCAAACACAAGGCCAAAUCCGGCCUCGUUUCAUUUGGCCCGAGUGAACUUGAAAAAAUUAUACUGAAACGGCCCAUAGUACUCUACUGCUGAACAUUUUCACACUCUGCAGAGUUCACAGCAGCUCCGUAGAAGAGCAUACGGGCUCACAGCUCAGAGUGCUGAAGUGUGGGUUAAAGCCAACGCAUGUGUGCUGCUCUUGAUGUAAGUCACACUCGCAUCUAAAAAACGAGUUAGACGCACGUCAGGUGUUGUGCUGGCAGUGUGCAACCAGAAAUUCAUUUCGAUGGGAUGAGGAAAUAUACUAAAUUAAAUCACGAUUGUUUUCCUGUUUUGUACAAUUGGUAAAUGUAACACGCUCGUGCAUUUCAGAUGGAUAUCAGACAGCAGUAGGAGUGGUGAUGCCACCAGUUUAAUCACUUAAGGCAUAAACUGUCUUUCCAAAUUAAUAACAUAGCCAUAAAAUACCUUUAUGACAGUUCCAAUGAUCAUGAUUAAAAUAAUGUUAAUAAUAGGGGGAUAUUAUACCGUAUAUAAUAAAUCCUGAUCUACUUUUCUUUUGUAGUAAACUCCAGCAGGCUACUUCACUGGCUCUCACCUCCAUAUCUCUUAUAGCCAUUAUAGUCUAGCUUUCAAACAGAAACAGAAAAAUGCAUAAUGAAUGCAUUCAUUAAAAAAAACUCUAUUAUAAUCUGUAUAAUAAAUGUUAUUUUCUAAUAAUGCAUACUUUUAAAUAGUUUCUGUUAGCCCUUCUUCUUCCUAGAUACAUCCUGUUCUGAUUUCAGAGCCUAGGUUAUAGGGGUUAAUCAACAAAAUAUGUUAAAUAUUGACCCUUCAGUUCUCAGAAAUAUGCUGAUUUGCUGAUGUAAAACACAAUGGUGAUGUGAGAGUAACAAUGUGGCGACUUUUACAAGCAAGGAAACAAGGAAACAGGAAAACGAAAGCUCACUGGUGAUGAAAAGGAAAAACAGGAAGUGCAGCUUCAUCCAUGAAAAUGAGAGAACGACCAAAUCUCAAUGAGAAGCUUCUCCACACAUAUUGAGCUGUUCCUUCAGAGCUCCAAGGGCUUGUCUAAGGAACCUCAAGGAUUUUAAGUGAGAAAUGACAAAAAGGAAGUCAAAGAGUGCAGGUUAAAAUCAGUAUUAGCACUGCUAUUAUCUUCUGUGAAGAUGGCAAUAUCUGUUUGCGCCUUAUUUAUUCUUGAUACGAGUCAUAAACUCAUAAAAGGAAUUCUGACACCCCCAUGUGGUGUGUGUAUUGUGUGUAUUCAUCUGCUGCAUGUCUGGCUUUGGUUUUGGAAUACAUUUUGUUAGCGACUGUGUAUGAAUAUAAAGCUCACUCCCGUUUUUAAUGUAAUCCUUGUGCAGUAAUUUUGCCUUAUUUUUUAGGUCUCUCUAAUAAUAAAGGUUAGUAACGCUAUUAAAAUGA